rnacentral:lncRNA from 1 species
AAAAACAUUAUAAAUAAUUUCUAAUCUUAAAACUUAAUUCCUAUGGAUUAAUAAACAUUUGUGAAUAAUAAAACAUUAUUCAAAAUUUUAUACAUUUUAUAAAUAUUAAGUAUUUAUUUAAAUACCUUAAAUAAAGGCACUAAAUAAAUACUUAAUUUUUUAUUACUUGAUCCUAGGGUUUAAGAAAUUUUAAUGCAUAAAAGAAAAUAAAAUACACCUAAUAAAGUUGAUUUCACUAAUUUGGGACAUUUCUACAAUUUAUAAUGAAUUAAAUAUGAAAACAGAAUUUAAAUCUAAUUUCUAAAACUCUAAAUCAACUUUCUUCCUGAAAACCCCCUCUGGAAACCUUUCUCACUCACCCCCGCACUAACCCUUCUCACCGACACGCGGGCCCGAACCUGAGC